GAUGAACGCUGGCGGCGUGCCUAAUACAUGCAAGUCGAGCGGUAACACUUCGGGUGACGAGCGGCGGACGGCUGAGUAACGCGUAGGAACAUACCCCAAACUGGGGGAUAAGCAUCGGAAACGGUGUCUAAUACCGCAUGUGGUCUUCGGAUUAAAGCUUCGGCGGUUUGGGAAUGGCCUGCGUCCGAUUAGCUUGUUGGUGAGGUAAAAGCUCACCAAGGCGACGAUCGGUAGCUGGUCUGAGAGGAUGAUCAGCCAGACUGGGACUGAGACACGGCCCAGACUCCUACGGGAGGCAGCAGUAGGGAAUUUUCCACAAUGGGCGAAAGCCUGAUGGAGCAACGCCGCGUGCAGGAUGAAGGCCUUCGGGUUGUAAACUGCUUUUAUCUGUGAAGAUUAUGACGGUAGCAGAUGAAUAAGGAUCGGCUAACUCCGUGCCAGCCGCCGCAGUAA
rnacentral:rRNA from 1 species